rnacentral:tRNA from 1 species
GCCAGAGUAGCUCAGUGGUAGAGCAGAGGACUCAUAAGCCUUUGGUCGUGGGUUCAACUCCCACCUCUGGUA